GCUUUCAACAUCCCCGCUCUCGCGCUGCAGGUUGGCGGCGAGGGCUGAAGGC
rnacentral:sRNA from 12 species